GGGCCGUUAGCUCAGUUGGUAGAGCAACUGACUUUUAAUCAGUAGGUCGAAGGUUCGAACCCUUCACGGCUCA
rnacentral:tRNA from 1 species